GAUUCAUCCCCCAUUCCCUUUUCCUUUUUUUUCCUCCCUCGUCCCCCUGUUCCUUUUGUCCUUCUCAUGCACUUCCUACCAUCCCGCCUUUUCCCCGCCUUCCCUCAUCUCUUCUUGCACUCUUUGACUCCUUUUUCUCCCCCCAUCCUUAUUUCUCUUCACAUUCCCCUGUUCUUUUUCCCCCUUUCCUCUUCUUCACCCCCAGCUCCGCUUCCACCCCACCUCACGUCUCCUUUCUUCUGUCCCUGUACCCCAUUUUUCCUUUUUUUCUUUCCCCACCCCCUUUUUCUCUUUUUUUUCUCUGCUGUCCCCUAUUCCCUUUUUCCUCUUUGCUCUCUCUCUCCUUUCUUCCCCCUCAUCCUGUUACAGAAGACACUGAAGGAAUGAUGGACAAGCUGGUGCAGGAUGGCAGCAGCAGGGUGGAAGCACAGGUUCCGGACACGGCUUGCUCUUCUAAGCAGUGUGAGGACUGUGAGAAAGACUUUGUUGGAUGCAGCAGGAAAGCACAGCAGCUGGUGGAUGCCAGUGUCCGCUCCUGAGGCUCUGCGCCAAGCUCUGCCCAGUGCUGAUGGGAUGUCAGUGCCACCUGCUGCUCUCCAUAAACUGCAGGUUCAUUUCCUUUUGGCUUCCAUAGCAUUUGCUACUCUUUUGUUCUGUCUCACUUCUCUUUUUUCCAUGUUGCCUGCUGGCGCCUCGCUGCAGUUCCCAGGAUGCCACUGCACACUUUGGACCAAGUGAGAUGC